rnacentral:rRNA from 1 species
UACGUAGGUGGCAAGCGUUAUCCGGAAUUAUUGGGCGUAAAGAGCGCGCAGGUGGUUGAUUAAGUCUGAUGUGAAAGCCCACGGCUUAACCGUGGAGGGUCAUUGGAAACUGGUCGACUUGAGUGCAGAAGAGGGAAGUGGAAUUCCAUGUGUAGCGGUGAAAUGCGUAGAGAUAUGGAGGAACACCAGUUGCGAAGGCGGCUCUCUGGACUGUAACUGACACUGAGGCACGAAAGCGUGGGGAGCAAACAGGAUUAGA